AUGUUUUUUGUUUUGUUUUACUAUUAUCCUUUUUUUCUCAGAUUUUUUUUUAUUGUAAUUGUAUUUAUAUGUUCAAAAAAAAGAAAUCAAAUCAAAAACGCUUAUCUCUUCAGCUAUUAUGGCCCCAGCACCUCAACACCCAGUAAGAGAGACUUGAAGAAGCACCACCUGACUGCACCAUCACUUUUCAGUAUUGUAUGUGCAUCAUCUGAAACACUUUCAAAUCGAGAGGACCUGUCGCCUAUUGAGGAAAGACUGGAAGAUGAUCAGCGCACCAUGGAUGCCUCUGAGGUUCUGGAGGAAAGUCUACAGAACAUGAGCAUCCAGGAUGCUGAAACCCAGGUCAUGAAUGAGCAGGAGAUAAAUGAUCUAAUGAACAGUGUAAUUGAUUGGGGGGACAGUGAAGGUGUUAGUAAUGAGGAGAUUGAAGCAGAUGACAGUGAAGAUGAGGACUAUGUCCCUCGUAUUUGUAUUCGGUUGGGUGGAGCAUUGCAGGCACCACCAUGCAUUGACAGUCUGCCUGUGAUAGAUGCAAGUGAGACAGUACAUGACAUCCCGGAUGUAGAGCCUCCAUCAGUCACCUUACCUACACUUCAACAACCUGGCUUUCCUGAUACACUGGAGGUCAUGACUGAAGAUGACCUAAUCGGGAAACAGGCCUCCAUCACUUAUGAGGACUGUUUGAGGCAGCUUGCAACAUUACUUGUGCUUCCGGUCCAAAAGUGCCCAUACACAUGUGACGUCAGCAAAGUGGAGUGUCAGUGUCGCCCUCCAUUUGAAGUUUCCAUUACGCGCAGGGGUACUGCAAGCAUCAUGGAAUGGGUAGGUGUUGUAAUCAUACUACAUUGCAAAUAA
ensembl:lncRNA